AGGGCACCACCAGGAGUGGAGCCUGCGGCUUAAUUUGACUCAACACGGGAAAACUCACCCGGCCCGGACACUGGAAGGAUUGACAGAUUGAGAGCUCUUUCUUGAUUCAGUGGGUGGUGGUGCAUGGCCGUUCUUAGUUGGUGGAGUGAUUUGUCUGGUUAAUUCCGAUAACGAACGAGACUCUAGCCUACUAAAUAGAUCGUCGGCUUACAAACGCCGGCGAGACUUCUUAGAGGGACAGGCGGUGAUUCAACCGCACGAAACAGAGCAAUAACAGGUCUGUGAUGCCCUUAGAUGUCCGGGGCCGCACGCGCGCUACACUGAAGUGAUCAGCGUGCUUUUUCAACCUACUCUGUCAAGAGUGGGGAACCCAAUGAACCUUCUUCGUGAUUGGGAUAGGGGAUUGUAAUUAUUCCCCUUGAACGAGGAAUUCCCAGUAAGCGCGUGUCAUAAGCUCGCGUUGAUUACGUCCCUGCCCUUUGUACACACCGCCCGUCGCUACUACCGAUUGAAUGUUUU
rnacentral:rRNA from 1 species